CGCCGCUCUGCCUGCCUCUUGCCUCUCUUCUCACGCCGUCUCUCGCCGUCAGGCCGCCUCUUCUCUCCUCCACCAUUCAUGGUGCUUCGCCGUCAGGGUUUCGCCGCCUCCUCCCUUGACCCUUCUGUUCCGCGGUGAUGAGCGACCUCUGGGAGGGCUACCUGAGCGGGGGAGGCGUCGUCCGUGGUUGGUGAGAUUGAAGUUGUGUGUGCUUCGCCGGAAGCCCUAGAUCCGCCGAAAUCAAGGUUUUGCGGGCGGCGGAGAGGCGAAGGUGAGGGCGGAGAGGCGAAGGUGAGGGCGGAGAGGUGAAGGUGAGGCGACAUAGAUCUAGCUCUGUUCGUGAGCUUCGCGCACCGCAGCCUCAGAUCUCUUUCUCUCGAGCUCAAGGCACAGGAAGUUGUGGUUUGAUUUAUGUAUCUUUGAUUUUGGGGAUGAAGAUUUUAUGUAUCUUUGAUUUUUGUGGAGGAUGAUGCCUUUAUGUAUCUUUGAUUUUGGGGAUGAAGCUUUGAUUUAGAGUACAAAUUUUUUCUGUGAUAAUUUUCGUUCUGCAUUUGUUCUGCAUUUUAGGGUUUAUAAUUUGUUCAACAUUUUAGGGAUGAAUUCUUGUUUGAGUUCGUUGAAUCUGCAUCAGUCGAGCUUCAUUUAGGCAUUUGUUUGAG
rnacentral:lncRNA from 1 species